GAAGGGAGCUUGCUCCCGGAUGUUAGCGGCGGACGGGUGAGUAACACGUGGGUAACCUGCCUGUAAGACUGGGAUAACUCCGGGAAACCGGAGCUAAUACCGGAUAGUUCCUUGAACCGCAUGGUUCAAGGAUGAAAGACGGUUUCGGCUGUCACUUACAGAUGGACCCGCGGCGCAUUAGCUAGUUGGUGGGGUAAUGGCUCACCAAGGCGACGAUGCGUAGCCGACCUGAGAGGGUGAUCGGCCACACUGGGACUGAGACACGGCCCAGACUCCUACGGGAGGCAGCAGUAGGGAAUCUUCCGCAAUGGACGAAAGUCUGACGGAGCAACGCCGCGUGAGUGAUGAAGGUUUUCGGAUCGUAAAGCUCUGUUGUUAGGGAAGAACAAGUGCGAGAGUAACUGCUCGCACCUUGACGGUACCUAACCAGAAAGCCACGGCUAACUACGUGCCAGCAGCCGCGGUAAUACGUAGGUGGCAAGCGUUGUCCGGAAUUAUUGGGCGUAAAGGGCUCGCAGGCGGUUUCUUAAGUCUGAUGUGAAAGCCCCCGGCUCAACCGGGGAGGGUCAUUGGAAACUGGGAAACUUGAGUGCAGAAGAGGAGAGUGGAAUUCCACGUGUAGCGGUGAAAUGCGUAGAGAUGUGGAGGAACACCAGUGGCGAAGGCGACUCUCUGGUCUGUAACUGACGCUGAGGAGCGAAAGCGUGGGGAGCGAACAGGAUUAGAUACCCUGGUAGUCCACGCCGUAAACGAUGAGUGCUAAGUGUUAGGGGGUUUCCGCCCCUUAGUGCUGCAGCUAACGCAUUAAGCACUCCGCCUGGGGAGUACGGUCGCAAGACUGAAACUCAAAGGAAUUGACGGGGGCCCGCACAAGCGGUGG
rnacentral:rRNA from 1 species